UACGGGGGGGGCAAGCGUUGUUCGGAAUUACUGGGCGUAAAGCGUGCGCAGGCGGUUAUGUAAGACAGUUGUGAAAUCCCCGGGCUCAACCUGGGAAUUGCAUCUGUGACUGCAUAGCUAGAGUACGGUAGAGGGGGAUGGAAUUCCGCGUGUAGCAGUGAAAUGCGUAGAUAUGCGGAGGAACACCGAUGGCGAAGGCAAUCCCCUGGACCUGUACUGACGCUCAUGCACGAAAGCGUGGGGAGCAAACAGG
rnacentral:rRNA from 1 species